AACUGGAGAGUUUGAUCCUGGCUCAGAUUGAACGCUGGCGGUAGGCCUAACACAUGCAAGUCGAACGGUAACGGACCGCUGGGAUCCCUUCGGGGUGACCUUGGUGCCGACGAGUGGCGGACGGGUGAGUAACACGUAGGAAUCUGCCCAACAGAGGGGGACAACCCGGAGAAAUCCGGGCUAAUACCGCAUACGCCCUACGGGGGAAAGCGGGGGAUCUUCGGACCUCGUGCUGUUGGAGGAGCCUGCGUCGGAUUAGCUUGUUGGUGAGGUAAUGGCUCACCAAGGCGACGAUCCGUAGCUGGUCUGAGAGGAUGAUCAGCCACACUGGGACUGAGACACGGCCCAGACUCCUACGGGAGGCAGCAGUGGGGAAUAUUGGACAAUGNNCGNAAGNNUGANCCAGCCAUACCGCGUGUGUGAAGAA
rnacentral:rRNA from 1 species